rnacentral:rRNA from 1 species
GUAAACUCCUUUUAUAUCCCAAGAUAAUGACGGUAGGAUAUGAAUAAGCACCGGCUAACUCCGUGCCAGCAGCCGCGGUAAUACGGAGGGUGCAAGCGUUACUCGGAAUCACUGGGCGUAAAGGAUGCGUAGGCGGAUAAUCAAGUCGAAAGUGAAAUCCUACAGCUUAACUGUAGAACUGCUUUCGAAACUGGUUAUCUAGAAUAUGGAAGAGGCAGAUGGAAUUAGUGGUGUAGGGGUAAAAUCCGUAGAGAUCACUAGGAAUACCGAUUGCGAAGGCGAUCUGCUGGGACAUUAUUGACGCUGAGGCAUGAAAGCGUGGGGAGCAAACAGGAUUAGAUACCCUGGUAGUCCACGCCCUAAACGAUGCACACUAGUUGUUGCGAUGCUCGUCAUUGCAGUAAUACAGUUAACACAUUAAGUGUGCCGCCUGGGAGUACGGUCGCAAGAUUAAAACUCAAAGGAAUAGACGGGGACCCGCACAAGUGGUGGAGCAUGUGGUUUAAUUCGAAGAUACGCGAAGAACCUUACCUAGCCUUGACAUAUAUUAGAACUCACCAGAGAUGGAGAGGUGCCUUCGGGAGCUUUUAUACAGGUGCUGCACGGCUGUCGUCAGCUCGUGUCGUGAGAUGUUGGGUUAAGUCCCGCAACGAGCGCAACCCUCGUCACUAGUUACUAACGGUUCGGCCGAGGACUCUAGUGAGACUGCCUUCGUAAGGAGGAGGAAGGUGAGGACGACGUCAAGUCAUCAUGGCCCUUACGGCUAGGGCAACACACGUGCUACAAUGGCCAGGACAGUGAGAAGCGAUACCGCGAGGUGGAGCAAAUCUAUAAACCUGGUCUCAGUUCGGAUUGUAGUCUGCAACUCGACUACAUGAAGCUGGAAUCACUAGUAAUCGUAGAUCAGCUAUGCUACGGUGAAUACGUUCCCGGGUCUUGCACUCACCGCCCGUC